rnacentral:rRNA from 1 species
UACAGAGGGGGCAAGCGUUGUUCGGAAUUACUGGGCGUAAAGGGCGCGUAGGCGGCCUGCUAAGUCGAACGUGAAAUCCCCGGGCUCAACCCGGGAACUGCGUCCGAUACUGGUUGGCUUGAAUCCGGGAGAGGGAUGCGGAAUUCCAGGUGUAGCGGUGAAAUGCGUAGAUAUCUGGAGGAACACCGGUGGCGAAGGCGGGUCUCUGGGCAGUAACUGACGCUGAGGAGCGAAAGCGUGGGGAGCGAACAGG